rnacentral:rRNA from 1 species
UCUCAGUUCAGAUUGCAGGCUGCAACUCGCCUGCAUGAAGUUGGAAUUGCUAGUAAUCGCGAAUCAGAAUGUCGCGGUGAAUACGUCCCCGGGCCUUGUACACACCGCCCGUCACACCAUGAGAGUCGAUAACACCCGAAGCCUGUGAGCUAACCGUAAGGAGGCAGCAGUCGAAGGUGGGGUUGAUGAUUGGGGUGAAGUCGUAACAAGGUAUC